rnacentral:rRNA from 1 species
UUNAGAACNUGNGCGGCAGGCUUAACACAUGCAAGCCGAACGGUAACAGGAAGCAGCUUGCUNNUCUGCUGACGAGUGGCGGACGGGUGAGUAAUGUCUGGGAAACUGCCUGAUGGAGGGGGAUAACUACUGGAAACGGUAGCUAAUACCGCAUAACGUCGCAAGACCAAAGAGGGGGACCUUCGGGCCUCUUGCCAUCAGAUGUGCCCAGAUGGGAUUAGCUAGUAGGUGGGGUAACGGCUCACCUAGGCGACGAUCCCUAGCUGGUCUGAGAGGAUGACCAGCCACACUGGAACUGAGACACGGUCCAGACUCCUACGGGAGGCAGCAGUGGGGAAUAUUGCACAAUGGGCGCAACUGNAUGCAGCCAUGCCGCGUGUAUGAAGAAGGCCUUCGGGUUGUAAAGUACUUUCAGCGGGGAGGAAGGCGAUGCGGUUAAUAACCGCGUCGAUUGACGUUACCCGCAGAAGAAGCACCGGCUAACUCCGUGCCAGCAGCCGCGGUAAUACGGAGGGUGCAAGCGUUAAUCGGAAUUACUGGGCGUAAAGCGCACGCAGGCGGUCUGUCAAGUCGGAUGUGAAAUCCCCGGGGUUCAACCUGGGAAUUGNAUCCGAAACUGGCAGGCUUUAAUCUCGUANAGGGGGGGUANAUUCCAGGUNUAACCGGUGAAAUGCGUANAGANNUUGGAGG